ensembl:lncRNA
GGGAGGGACACAUUCCUCAGCUCGUCUCUCUCUGUGUGCUGUUACCGGGAGGGGAAAAAGGAUGGGCUAUAAACCCACAAAAAGUACAAGGACCAGGGCUAUCAGUUAAAUUCCUGGGUGUUGUCUGGUCAGGUAAGACUAAGAUGUUACCCAGUGCAAUCAUUGAUAAGAUCCAAGUGUUCCCCUGCAACUUCCUACGAAACCGAAGCAGUUGCAGGAGUUUUUGGGUAUAUUAGGAUAUUGGCAAUCCUUUAUUCCCCACUUAGCACAACUGCUAAAACCCUUAUAUCGAUUAACAAAAAAAGGCCAAGUAUGGGAUUGGGGUAGAACAGAACAAGAAGCCUUCCAGCAAGCAAAAAUAGCUGUUAAACAGGCCCAGGCGCUAGGUAUAUUUGAUCCGACCCUUCCAGCCGAACUGGAUGUGCAUGUAACCCAAGAAGGGUUUGACUGGGGGCUGUGGCAGCGCCAGAGUUCUGUUCGAAUCCCAAUUGGGUUCUGGUCACAGAUUUGUCAUGGAGCAGAAGAGAGAUACAGCAUGGUUGAAAAGCAGUUAUUGGCUACCUAUUCUGCAUUGCAGGCAGUAGAACAAAUAACUCAGACCGCAGAGGUUAUUGUCAAAACAACUUUACCAAUUCAGGGGUGGGUGAAAGACCUAACUCACAUUCCUAAGACCGGGGUGGCCCAAUCACAAACAGUAGCACGCUGGGUUGCCUAUCUUAGCCAAAGAAGCCGCCUGUCAUCAUCUCCACUGAAGGAAGAACUUCAAAAGAUACUUGGGCCAGUAACAUAUCACAGCGAGACACCUGAGGAAAUAGUGGUUACUUGUCCAGAAAAGAGUCCUGUACAGGAGGGGAAAUACCCUAUCCCAGAAGAUGCCUGGUUUACAGAUGGAUCCAGCAGAGGGAACCCAAGUAGGUGGUGAGCUGUUGCAUACCAUCCCUCAACUGAAACAAUAUGGUUUGAAGAAGGGGAUGGACAAAGUAGCCAGUGGGCUGAGCUACGAGCUGUGUGGAUGGUGAUAACUCAAGAACCUGGCAACAGUGCACUAAACAUCUGCACAGAUAGUUGGGCAGUCUACCGAGGGCUCAUGCUCUGGAUAGCACAGUGGGUCACUCAGGAUUGGACAAUCCAUGCCCGACCUAUCUGGGGCAAAGAUAUGUGGGCUGAUAUAUGGAACGUGGUUAGGCACAGGACCGUACGAGCAUACCACGUCUCUGGACAUCAACCCUUGCAGUCACCAGGCAAUGAUGAAGCUGACACACUGGCUCAAGUCCGAUGGUUGGGAAGUACACCAUAAGAAGACAUAGCUCACUGGCUGCAUCGGAAAUUACGGCAUGCAGGACAGAAAACCAUGUGGGCAGCAGCUAAAGCAUGGGGGUUGCCCAUACAGUUACCAGAUAUUGUCCAGGCAUGUCAGGACUGUGACGCUUGCUCGUGAAUGAGACCAAGACCUCUGCCGGAAACUACGGCCCAUCUCGCUAGAGGACACAACCCAUUACAGCGAUGGCAGAUUGAUUAUAUAGGUCCCCUUCCUCGAUCUGAGGGGGCCAGAUAUGCCCUAACUUGUGUAGAUACAGCGAGUGGACUGAUGCAAGCCUAUCCUGUAGCAAAGGCAAACCAAGCCUAUACCAUCAAAGCUCUAACUAGAUUGAUGGCAUCAUACGGGACUCCUGAGGUUAUUGAGAGUGAUUAAGGUACACAUUUCACAGGUGCAACUGUGCAGAAGUGGGCUGAAGACAAUAACAUUGAAUGGCGGUUUCACCUGCCCUACAAUCAACGGGAGCAGGCCUAAUAGAAAGAUACAAUGGGAUCCUGAAGGCUGCUCUGAAGGCAGAUUCACAGUCCUUGCAGGGGUGGACCAAAAGGCUUUAUGAAACCCCGCGAGACUUGAAUGAGAGACCAAGAGAUGGCAGACUCAGUGCUUUAAAAAUGCUGCAGACAACUUGGGCCUCCCCACUUAGGAUACAAAUUACAAGCAAGGACACCUCACUCAAGCCACAAGUUGGCACCAUGAAUAAUCUUCUGCUCCCUGCCCCUGAUGACCUAGAGCCUGGGAGACACAAGGUAAAAUGGCCUUGGAAGGUGCAAGCAGGACCAAAAUGGUGUGGUUUCCUUGCACCUUGGGGGAGAUUGUUAGAGGUUGGGGGAUCAGUAAACCCUUCAGUAAUCGGUGAAUGGCCAACAGAGGUAGUAGUUGACACCCCUGUUUUCAUUGCAAAGGGGACAUUAAUCAUGUCCAUGUGGCAAAUUAGAACCCCCCCUUUGGUACCCGAUAUAGUGAUUCAGUCGCAGAUUUCAGGCCAAAGAGUGUGGUAUUGAAGGCCAGGACGUGCCCCGAUACAGGCAGAGGUGUUGACUCAAGACUGAAAUACAGCCUGCAUCUUACCAUGGAGGGCAGACCUACCCCUCCUCGUACCUAUUAAACAUCUGUUUUACUCCCCUUGAGGUUUUAAGUUCACAGGAUGGCCAGCAGGAGCAACAUCACUCAAACACGCUUAUGAGGAAACAUCAUGACACCCUGUGACGCACUGCUGAACUUUUGGGAACUGGAGAGCAUGAAUCAGAAGCGCUACUGGUCCUUGAAAAAGAUACGCCUUGAGAAAGAAGAUCAAGUACUGGCCCAACAGAACCGUGAAGGGGACUGCCACUGAUUGCCUUUAUUGUCUUGACAUCCUAUAUUGCGGCGGGUGUUGUGUAUGCGUCGCGAUGUGCAUUGUGUCUUGGGCCACCAGGUUGCAGGGGCUCACCCCCUACCUGCUCAGUCAUUGGUUCAUGCUGUGAAGGGGUGGAGUGUAGUGGAAUUCCAGGGUCACAGCCUGAACCAAUGGGUGGGCUAUGUGAGAGCGUGAGUGCAGCAGCACGACGGUACGAACAGGGGAGGGACACAUUCCUCAGCUCAUCUCUCUCUGCGCACUGUUAUCAGGAGGGGUGAGUCAAUUCCGUUUGAUAUCUUUCCCUCGUGUGCCUAUUUCUCAAAUAAAGGCUCUAUCAUUACCUU